GCCCAGAGAGCCUCGGGUGGGCUCUGUACAGCUGGGAGAUGAGAGGGUCCAACUUUGGAGACCCAGAAGGCACUGGCAGUGACACAGGAGGGCCCCAGAGAGCAUGAGCAUGAGGAGGGCGAAAGCCCAGACAACGCACCAUCCUGGGUAUCGGCUAUUGUCUAUCCCCAUCUGAUAAGCAAAGAAAAAUGAGACCCAGGAAGGUCCCAAGAAACUAAAACCAGAAAGCAGAUGGCAGAACAAAAGUCUGAACGCUGCGUUCCAUGGUGCCUUCAAGCCACGGCCACGAAAUAAACAAGAUGACACAGCCGUGGUGUCAGGGAGGUGAAGAUGCACUGCAAACCAGGCCAGGGCACAGCUCGGAGGACCUGUCUGCAACGUGGAGACUCCGCUGAGAAACACGAUCCUCCCCGGGCCUUCUGUGCUGCAGCCCACAGGGCAGAGACAAGCCACGCAGAAGACUGCAGAGUGGCGGGGCUGGAAACCCACCUCGGCUUCAGCUGCUGCCACCCGCCCGCCUGCGACAGAACAAUUCCUCCAAGUGGGAACAGACCCUCAGAGAGGAGCCACAUGGGGGUGGGGGUGUGGGGGUGCUGCCUUUCUGAUGGGGGACAGAGGAGCUUUCCAGAAAUAAAUGAAAGUCGCCCUUACAUCUUGGGGAAGUUUAAAGACACCCAGAGAAUGAAAUCUUAGAUAUUUCCUUCCUGAAAGGCUGAGGCUGGGCAUAAUUCUCUGCUUUUGUUCCCCUCCUUUGUUGAGUAAAUGU